UCGUGCAGAAUGAACAGGGUAUAAGCUCAACUUGGAAAUUGUGGCCUCUGGCUACGAAUUGUAAUCUCAAGAUGCAUUGCUAAUGGAGGCGCAGGUGUAAGCCUCUUGGAAAAGAGCAUCAGUGAGGGUGAGAAUCCUGUUUGUCACUUGCAGACCUCCAUGCACGGCGUGCAUUCUAAGAGUCACGUUCCUCGGGACUGGAGCGCAAAUUGGGUGGUAAAUUUCAUCUCAAGCUAAAUACGGGAUCGAAACCGAUAGCAAACAAGUACCAUGAGGGAAAGAUGAAAAGGACUUUGAAAAGAGAGUUAAAAGUGCCUGAACUCGCUGAAAGGAAAGCGGAUGGAACCAGUCGUGCUUGGCGAGAUUGUUGCGUGCAAAGGUGACUGCUCACUGCUCGUAGCGUAAGCGCAGCAGCGGGUUUCGAUCUGGUCGCGCGCGAUGCUUCUUGCCUUGUUCGUCAUCGUUGGUUUGGAGGCGCGGACAACUCUUGGGACAUGGUAACUCGCCCACGGGCGAGCGAAUGUGCCUUGCAGAACUCACCUCCAAACUGAUGUCUCUUGUUAGGUUCUGUUGCCGUACGCGGCACGUUCUUGACAAAGCGUGGUGACAGAAUGGUUCUAUUCGACCCGUCUUGAAACACGGACCAAGGAGUCUAACAUAUGUGCAAGUACUUGGGUGGCGAAACCUAUGUGCGCAAUGAAAGUGAGUGCUGAGAUGCUUGCAUCAGCAGCCGACCAAUCAAUUGGGAGAGGUUUGAGCAUGAGCAUAUCUGUUAGGACCCGAAAGAUGGUGAACUAUGCCUGAGAAGGGUGAAGUCUGGGGAAACUCAGAUGGAGGCUCGUAGCGAUACU
rnacentral:rRNA from 1 species